ACGCUCGACACCUACGGGAGCAGCAGUAGGGAAUCUUCCACAAUGGACGCAAGUCUGAUGGAGCAACGCCGCGUGAGUGAAGAAGGUCUUCGGAUCGUAAAACUCUGUUGUUAGAGAAGAACACGAGUGAGAGUAACUGUUCAUUCGAUGACGGUAUCUAACCAGCAAGUCACGGCUAACUACGUGCCGNNCGCCGGUAGUAUNGNGGCGNGNGAGAG
rnacentral:rRNA from 1 species